rnacentral:tRNA from 1 species
AUUAUCAGAAAAUCCUGGUAGCUUAGUGGUUAGAGUAUCAGCCUCCGACUCUAAGGUACUGGGUUCGAAUCUUGCCAGUGACAAUU